GUGGGGAAUAUUGGACAAUGGGCGCAAGCCUGAUCCAGCAAUGCCGCGUGGGUGAAGAAGGUCUUCGGAUCGUAAAGCCCUUUCGACAGGGACGAUGAUGAUGGUACCUGUAGAAGAAGCCCCGGCUAACUUCGUGCCAGCAGCCGCGGUAAUACGAAGGGGGCUAGCGUUACUCGGAAUUACUGGGCGUAAAGGGCGCGUAGGCGGCUCUGUUAGUCAGGCGUGAAAUUCCUGGGCUUAACCUGGGGACUGCGCUUGAUACUGCAGGGCUUGAGGCCGAGAGAGGGUGGUGGAAUUCCCAGUGUAGAGGUGAAAUUCGUAGAUAUUGGGAAGAACACCGGUGGCGAAGGCGACCACCUGGCUCGGUUCUGACGCUGAGGCGCGACAGCGUGGGGAGCAAACAGGAUUAGAUACCCGAGUAGUCC
rnacentral:rRNA from 1 species